AUGGCUGCCCGCACCACCGUCCCCUUGCUCCCGGAGGGGGCGACGGCGUUGCGGAUUCCCACCGACCGCCCGGCCUUCUACGACGUCUUCAAGGGCUACGAUGUCCUCCCGGCCGCCGCCGCCGUCCGCCUGGCCGUCCCGCCGUCGCAGACGCCCCGGUCCCGUCCGGAGCUCGCGUACGUUACGCUGCGCCGCAGCCCGGAGGAGGUGCUCUACGCGAAGCGCUUCGCGUACGCGUACAUCACCCCGGGGACGGGGACGGACCCGGUGCCCCUCAUCCGCCGCGUCUUCCGCGCCCUGGCCCCCGACCUGCCGCACACCUUGGAGGUGUUCCCGACCUGCGGGUACGGCGACGCCACGCUCCGCUUCGGCACGCCCGCCGAGCGGGAGGCGGCCAUGCGCAGGCAGCCGUUCGAGGUCGACGGCGUCACGGUGAAGCUCCUGCGGGAUACCGAGAGCGUCCCCAACGUCCCCGUCCCCGAGACCGACUGCAUGGCCCACGUCGCCCUGCACGACUACCCCGUGGAGCAGCGGACCGCCGAGGACAUCGAGGACAACUGCCGGCGCUUCGGGUUCCUGCGCGAGAUCGACCCGGCCUGCUUCACGGCGCCCGACCUCUCCACGGUCCGCGUCGUCCUUGAGCUGGGGCACCCUCGAGAGAUCCCGCGCGAGCUCCGGAUCGCCUACAUGUUUGACGACUCCUCCAGCGUCGUCCCCGUCCAGAUCGUCAAGGUCUGGAACUGCGCGCAUUCCUACGACGCCCGGGGACGCUACGUGCGUCUCUUCCACGCCCCGGCCUGA
rnacentral:rRNA from 1 species